rnacentral:lncRNA from 1 species
GUUGACAUUCGAUAUUAUGAAAUGAUCAUAAACAGGUUUAUGGUCACAAUUUAGAAAAAAAUAAGAAAUAUGAAUACAACAAAAGGACAAAAGUAGUAUACCGCUGUUCAAAAGUCAUAAAUCGAUUGAGAUAAAAACAAAAUCCGGGUUACAAACUAAAUCCGAGGGAAUCACAUCAACUAUAGAAGAUAAACAACGGAACCACAGAAACAAAAAAAAUGUAAAUUUUUAAGACAUUUCAUUUAUUUUCAAGUUUGCAUGAGUAAAUAUUUGUUUAAUUAUAUGGACGCAGGUUAUCUAUCUGCUCUUACCACUAGAC